rnacentral:rRNA from 1 species
UACGGGGGGGGUAAGCGUUGUUCGGAAUUACUGGGCGUAAAGGGCUCGUAGGCGGCCAACUAAGUCAUACGUGAAAGUCCUCGGCUCAACCGACGGAACUGCAUCCGAUACUGGCGGGCUUGAAUCCGGGAGAGGGAUGUGGAAUUCCAGGUGUAGCGGUGAAAUGCGUAGAUAUCUGGAGGAACACCUGCGGUGUAGACGGCUUACUGGACCAUAACUGACGCUGAGGCACGAAAGCGUGGGUAGCAAACAGG